rnacentral:rRNA from 1 species
GAUGAACGCUGGCGGCGUGCCUAAUACAUGCAAGUCGAGCGAACAGACGAGGAGCUUGCUCCUCUGACGUUAGCGGCGGACGGGUGAGUAACACGUGGAUAACCUACCUAUAAGACUGGGAUAACUUCGGGAAACCGGAGCUAAUACCGGAUAAUAUAUUGAACCGCAUGGUUCAAUAGUUAAAGACGGUUUUGCUGUCACUUAUAGAUGGAUCCGCGCCGCAUUAGCUAGUUGGUAAGGUAACGGCUUACCAAGGCAACGAUGCGUAGCCGACCUGAGAGGGUGAUCGGCCACACGGGAACUGAGACACGGUCCAGACUCCUACGGGAGGCAGCAGUAGGGAAUCUUCCGCAAUGGGCGAAAGCCUGACGGAGCAACGCAGCGUGAGUGAUGAAGGUCUUCGGAUCGUAAAACUCUGUUAUUAGGGAAGAACAAAUGUGUAAGUAACUAUGCACGUCUUGACGGUACCUAAUCAGAAAGCCACGGCUAACUACGUG